rnacentral:rRNA from 1 species
GACGAACGCUGGCGGGCGUGCCUAAUACAUGCAAGUCGAACGCUUUGAUUUUCACCGGAGCUUGCUCCACCGAAAAUCAAAGAGUGGCGGACGGGUGAGUAACACGUGGGCAACCUGCCCAACAGAGGGGGAUAACACUUGGAAACAGGUGCUAAUACCGCAUAAUUUGUUUUCCCGCAUGGGAGAAUAAUAAAAGACGCUUCGGUGUCACUGUUGGAUGGACCCGCGCUGCAUUAGUUAGUUGGUGGGGUAAUGGCCUACCAAGACCGUGAUGCAUAGCCGACCUGAGAGGGUGAUCGGCCACACUGGGACUGAGACACGGCCCAGACUCCUACGGGAGGCAGCAGUAGGGAAUCUUCGGCAAUGGACGAAAGUCUGACCGAGCAACGCCGCGUGAGUGAAGAAGGUUUUCGGAUCGUAAAACUCUGUUGUUAGAGAAGAACAAGUGGGAGAGUAACUGUUCCCACCUUGACGGUAUCUAACCAGAAAGCCACGGCUAACUACGUGCCAGCAGCCGCGGUAAUACGUAGGUGGCAAGCGUUGUCCGGAUUUAUUGGGCGUAAAGCGAGCGCAGGCGGUUUCUUAAGUCUGAUGUGAAAGCCCUCGGCUCAACCGAGGAAGGUCAUUGGAAACUGGGGAACUUGAAUGCAGAAGAGGAGAGUGGAAUUCCAUGUGUAGCGGUGAAAUGCGUAGAUAUAUGGAGGAACACCAGUGGCGAAGGCGACUCUCUGGUCUGUAAUUGACGCUGAGGCUCGAAAGCGUGGGGAGCAAACAGG